AUAAGACUCUUCUCUUACGUUCCGAUGUCGACUCGCGCUGUGGAAGACGAUGUUCGUUUCGUUAUAUUGAAAUGGCCUUGAUUGGUGAGCUCUAGUGCGACGUAAAUUAACAACAACAAGCCUAGCUACCUAGCCUCAACCAUUAGCUCCAUUAAUAAAAACACAGAGCUAUAAGCUAACUCAGAGAGCUCGUCUUACUUUUCUACAAUCUGCAUUCUACACAACAAUCCGUACUUAUGUGAUUGUACAUUUUGCUGUGUAAAAAAAAUAUAAUGCUGAUUGAAAACUUACCUGUUAAAAUUCCCUGUCUAUAAAUCAUUGCUGAAAUGAAUUCUGAUCCUAAUGAGAUUCUUCCAUUAUUCCCUAUUACCACCACAACUGCAUCCAACCCUUCUCUAUUCCCAGCUUAUUAUUCGCAAAGUCAAAAUGAUGACAACAGGAAUGCUGAUCCCAAGUAGCUAAACAACAGGAGUUAUGCUCCCUCGAAUAAUGAAAUAGUAUACAGCAAACUAGAGAAAACUGUAGAUUGUGAUUCUGAACAUGUUAGAGCACGCAAGAAAAUCAAGCAUAUGAAGAAGAAAAAAGCUAAACACAAAAGUGUUACUCCAAAUACAACUAGUGAAACAUUUGUAGUUCCAGAAAAGUAUAACUAAUAUAAAUUUCCUUUUCUUUUUAAAAUACCUUAAUACAGUUGUUAUGUGUAAGUGUAUAAUUCUUUUAAAACAGCUGUAGAUCAGUUCCAUUCGGGAAAAUAUGCUUAUGAUUGUUAAGUUUUUACUGAAAUUGUAUUUUAAAACAUUUCAUUAGGGAAUGAAAUUUAUCAAAUUAGUGUUGAAAUUUAGUGUAUAAAAAAUACAAUUUGUUAGUCUGGGAGAGUUUUUCUCAAGCUCAUGAAAUACUGCAAAAUACUAUUUAUUUUAUGCAAAACAAAUUUUUUAUGAUGAUAAUUGUCUUGUAAUUUGUUUUGAAAUUAGUGGUGUUAUGUAACCAACAAUAAAAAAAAUUAUCUUUUGUCGAAUAAUAUCAGUAAAAUCCUAGUAUACGCUACAAGUUUGGUGUGAUUUUUAGAAAAUGUCACCACAGCUUGUCGCCAAACUAUUGGUAUGCUGGGCAAAUGUGUACGAGGCAGUGGCACUAAAACAGCAAAAGUAAAACUCUACUGUUUAAAAAAAAUGUCUAACCAAAUCUACAACUACAGACUACAAACUUUAUUGUCUUCUCUAACAUUGCCAAUGCCAACAAAUCCACUGUGUAAAGUAUACUAGGUUGUAAUAAUAUUAAUAUAGUUGAAAAUUAAAUGUGAUUAUUAAAAUUGAAAGUCCAGUCUGAAGGAUCGCACUAAUGGCAGACUGUAUUGAAGAGUGAGUUUUUCUAUCUCUCAAUUUUUCGGUUUAUGAACAUGAUAUUUUAUUUUUGAUGUGAAAAUUAAAAUGGUAUUUUUCAAUCUGCAGUUGGAGAAUUAAAAAGUUGUGACUGUAUGCUUACCUAUCAGUCGGCACAAAAGCUCCUGUUUCUAAAAUAAGCUGUACAAAUAAAGCUAAUUAAAUGUUUCAUACGAAAUCUUUUAUUCUACUUUACAUCUACAUUAAUAAAUGCAAUAUAUCUAAAAAAUUCAAUAAAAUAUUGUCAUUUGAUAAAACGGUGUAUAAAGAAUCAAUACUUUGUGUUCAAAAGUUUCUUAAUUUAAUUGUUUUUGGUUAAUUAUUGAUUUAUUACAAAAUUUGUAUCAUCAUUUGGUAUAAAAAUAUAGGUGUCUGUAACAUAAUACAAACUAGUGUGUUCGAUCAUAAAUCCUACUUCUCCAUAUGUGUAAUGAAAAACAAUUUCAUCCCUGCAAAAAUUAACUAUCUAUGCACAUCAUAAUAUGAUUUCAAAAAUUAAUCAUUCAUUAAUAUAAAUGGAUGGUUCACCGUGUUAAAAUGCAUAAUUUUCAAU